AACUUGAAACUUAUGUAGCGGGUACAGAUAUGUACUACGGCUUUAAGACUCACGUGAACGCGGGAGAGGCAGAGAGAGAGGAAGAACGGGGGUACGAGCGGCGAAAAGGGGGAGCGGGAGAAGUUUUUGGGCUCCACGGGCGCGUCAAUUGUUUUUUUUCGGUAAGGAAUAUUGUCAAGUGGUCGUAUCGAGUGACACGUUCCGAACCAGUAACGCGGUUACGUUUGGGUUUUCGUUUUAAUUGAUGGUGCGAGCGCCGAAGUCGGGCUGCAUUAGAUUAAAGUGACACGUUUAAACCAGUAACGCGGUUACGUCUGGGUUUACGUUUCCUCGGAUAGCGCGAGCGCCGAAGUCGUGCGGCGUUAGAGUGAAGUUAAAGUUAACUGUUGCAUUUAGUUGGGUCUAGAUGGCGGUGCACCGAUGAAGCUGACUGGAGGAGUGUUCAAGAAGAGCAAGCCGGGACAUCAACAUCUCGAGGUGCAACGUGCUAAAAGCUCUGUCCACCUCUCCCCACUCCGUGCGUGAGCUGCGCGGGAAAGGGGGCGAUUGACGUCAGGACAACACGUUUCAUUGGAGGUUUACCCUGCCAGCCAUCGGACGUCCCGCGACGUGUGACCUCUGCGGUUGUAUGGGUAAUCACUGCACCACAUUUCAACACACUGAUCCAUGAACCAGCAGGCGGCGUGUGCAGCCGAGCAGGACUGUCUGUGAACUGGACGAACUUGCCGCUGUGCGCCCUCACACACACCCGAGCACGCAGACGCUAACAGCACCUACUGAACUGUACAGCAACGGAGCUGACACCAACACUAACACGCACACACGCACCCAUACACACCGGAGUGACCCGGUUAGCUCAGGCGGACUGGCACAGCAGAUGCUGAGUAACUGUUUAUUUUGCCAUCUAAAGUAAGUUUAUUGAAAUGUGAAUGUGAAUGUGAAAUGCCUUUAGAAGUGAGCUAUAUUCUCUGUUAAAGUUACUGUUCUGGUUAAAGGGAGCCAUUUUUAGUUGUCAUAAGGGUGAACGUUGCUUCCCCAGGUUCCAUGAGAACUUACAAUAGACGGGUAUGGCUCACUAAGUGUCAAGUUAAGCACCCAAGGUUUGAUGAUGAGGUGAAACCGAGGUAUUGAGUAGCCAUUCGUGAGGUUUAUAGGUGACUAUAUUAAUGAAACCAUUCCAUAUAACUGUCUCGUAUUUGAAUAUGUUUUCCUUGUGCUCUGUGUUUAUCCUUGAGUAAACAAUCGAGGAAAUAACAGCUGUACGUGUUUGUUUAACUUAGUCUAGUAUAUUGGGCUGCUUAUCCGGGGUAGGGGCGCCUCACCUGUUUAGCUAGACCUGGGUAGAGUGGGGAGGGGGUUACCUCACGCACCCCACACACACUUCAGACGACCACCUACUGAAGCCCACUUUGCCCCGUCUAAGAAGCUACCGUCCAGUCUAGCUGCUAAAUAGUAAACAACCUGUUCACUCGCCUGAGCAUCGAGGCCACAGGCAUUGAGUGUGGAGGACCCAGAUCCUGUCCCACUCAGUCCUCCCCAGAGUAAGUGUUUUAUAACCCCUAUAAGGCGGCGGUAAUAAUCCCGACCGCUACACUUAGUUAAACUUACAGUAAUGCUUUGUGUUGACUUAUUCUUAUUAUUAAUUCCAUUAUUCCAUUAUUAAUAAAAGCUCACAAAAUGUCGUUAUUUUAAUAAAAAUUCAGCAUGGACCUUUUUGUUUGUGGGGCCCGACAGAAAAACCCGAGAAGCAUCCGGCCUCCAGUCGAAUGAGUCGUAAAGGAGAGGACCACAAAGGAGCCGCGUACCUUCUUGUUCUCUGUAGGCCGCCGUGGCUUUACGUGCAUGGAGAAGCAGCGUUCACUUUUUCAGCUCCACACAUCUGGAACAAAGUCUCAGAAAGCUGCAGGUCUGCUGGGUCCCUCAGCUCCAUUAAAUCCAAAUCAAAGACGUUUCUUUUUGCUGCUGCCUUAAAUUUCUCGCUCUCUGCUGGUCAGCUGCAGCUUCACGCUGUGUGUUUCUCCUCCAUCCGCCUCUUUAGCGGCUCACGCGUCUCCCUCCUUUUUUUAUUUUUAGAGAAGUUGUUGCAGUGAUGUAAUGGAGCGUAACGGAGUACCUGUGCUCUUCUCUCUCAUUGCUUCCGUAAAAAGGUUUCCGCCACACUUGAUGAUGCCUGUGGUCCUCUCUCCUCUGCAGGAUCUGAGACCUCUGGUGGUUGUGGUGGUGAACCGCCGGCGUCUCCAGAGCGACGGUGCGUUUAGGGACCAAAUGCGGAUGCAGAGGGUUCAGUCUAUGAAUACUCCAGAGGAGAGCAGAUUUAUGGGAGUAUUUUUUUACCUCCAGUGAACCCAAUCGUCCUUAUUACGCAACGGGAGAGUCAGCCGACGCACCAAGUGUUCAUGAAUCUGCUCACCUGACAGCUCGUCCACAGCCGGGAAGAGUCUGUGAUGGGGGGAAAGGUCACGGGGGAACAUGCAAGGGGUGGAAGCUGUGCAGAGGGCGGCUGUGGCAAGAUUGAGAUGGACUGAACCACAGCACAUGUAUGAGAUGCUAGUAACUUUAAAACAGACCCCUAAAAAUAAGGGGGGGGGGGUGUUUUCCUACGAAUUCUCAUUUUAAAGUUAGGGUUAGGAGCCAUUUACGUUUAUUGUUGGCAUGAUAUUUUAUUUAGUUUGGAUGUAUUUAUAUUAGUAUUUUGGACACUAGGUGGCAGUGAUUAGAUGCACGUGGUUGGAUAUGAGGGGCACAGGUGACAGGAAGUGGGGAACACAGGUUCAUCGGUUUAUACUAUUUAAUGCAAUAAAAUCACAAACUUCAA